GCUGAACCGCGGUGCACCGGACUAUGGCUGGUGAAGUGAAUGGGCAAAAGCGUUUUAUAUAUAAAGCAUAUGUUUGAAUUUUCAAACUACUUUUUAUUGGGAAGGCAGAUAAAACGUUUCAAGUUUGGAUGUAAAAAACCCAGAAUCCUACUCAUUACUCCACGCGCUUAACCCAUUGUAUGUCACUUUUGCUUUGUCAGCCAAAACGGGUCACCUGGCUCAAGGCCGGAAUUCCACAAUCAAAGCUAACCCGGGUUCAUGCGAGGCAGGCCCGAGGCAUUAAUCUAAUCCCCUCAGUGUGUGGGCUACUCCAUUUUACACAACCAAGUAGUUAUCAUAUAACAGAAAAGAUGUUGACCUCAGAGAAGCUCACCACCAUGACGACUAACUAUAAAGCACAACAACAUUCUCAUGGCAAACCCUUUAUCCUGCAAUUAAUCAAUUAAUCAAUCUGACCAACUGAAAUGAUUAUUUGGACUUGUAGUGAGCCCUAUUUUUUUAACACAAAUAUUACGCAUUCCCCAAGCUGCAGAAGUUUAAUCUUUAUUGAAAUGUGUGUCUUAGUGGUUAGAGGUCAACAAUGAGAAAACUCAGUGGAACUGGCUUUGAGGUGCAGAGUUGAGUUUGAGGACUAUAGAGUAUGGACUAAUUGAUCAAUUGUGAGGAAUAUGAUUUUGUGAUUAAAAUCAUUCGUAUGCCAUAUUUGUUCACUAACAUUUUGGCUAAGUUUUCAAACAGGUAGAGUAAGAGAAACCCAGUGUGUGGAAUUCAAACUCUCCAUUUCUCUUGCGAGAUGUUACAUUUUACGUUUAUGUUUACACUGAACAAAAAUAUAAAACGCAAAGUGUUGGUUCCAUGUUUUAUGAGCUGAAAUAAAAGAUCCCCGAAAUUUUCCAGACGCACAAAAAUAGUAUUUCUCUCAAAGUCUGUGCACAAACAUGUUUACAUCCCUGUUAGUGAGCAUUUCUCCUUUGCCAAGAUAAUCCAUCCACCUGACAGGUGUGGCAUUUUAAGAAGCUGACUAAACAGCAUGAUCAUUACACAGGCACACCUUGAGCUGGGGACAAUAAAAGGCCACUCUAAAAUGUGCAGUUUUGUCAAACAGCACAAUUCCACAGACGUCUCAAGUUGAGGGAGCGUGCAAUUGGCAUGCUGACUGCAGGAAAGUCUCUACUAUAAACUGCCUCCACUGUCGUUUUAGAGAAUUUGGCAGUACCUCCAACUGGCCUCACAACCACAGACAACGUGUAACCACGCCAGCCAAGGACAUUCACAUCUGGCUUCUUCACCUGCGGGAUCGUCUCAAACCAGCCACCCGGACAACUGAUGAAACUGAGAAGUAUUUCUGUCUGUAAUAAAGCCCUUUUGACGGGGAAAACUCAUUGGCUGGGACUAGCUCCCCAGUGGCUGGGCCUAUGCCCUCUCAGGCCCACCCAUGGCUGUGCCCCUGCCCAGUCAUGUGAAAUCCAUAGAUUAGGGCCUAAUUUAUUUAUUUCAAUUGACUGAUUUCUCUCCAUUUCAAUUGACUGAAUGUGUUGAAAUUGUUGCAUGUUGGGUUUAUAUUUUUGUUCAGUAUAAGUAAUUUAGCAGACACUCUUAUUCAGAGAAACUUACAGGAUGAGCAGUAGGUGGCUUGACUCUCAUGCAUACACAGUAAAAAACUGGAGAGUAUUUUUUCCGGAGUUAAAAAUAUUUUCCCAUCAAGUAGUCAAACUAAAUCAUUUUAGAGUGUAAUUAUUACCAGCGGCCGAUAGAAUGGGAGCAAAAAUACAUAAUAAAUGAUAUUGGAGUAAAACAGCAUGACUACGCCCACUAAUGUUGGUUAAAUUUAGAUUUUGCCGCAUUUGCAAGUGUCUCGCGAAUGGAAAGAGUGGACAGAGCGAGAGCGAGGAUCCGCCGAACAUCAGAAGUCAUUCACAGAACCACAGAAUUUCUUAAUUUCUAAACUUAAUUAGAAUUCCAGGCAAGUUCACUGUUAUUGGUUAACUUUGUGUGCAAAUUAAAACUGUUGAGCAACAUUACAGCUAGUUAGCAUUGUAGUGUAGGCUUACUGUUAUUGCACGAUUUGAAUAGUCAGAUGCUAAUGUGAGCAUCGAGCUAGAGCUAAUUAGCUAGCUAGCUACAGUAACAUUAAGGUAUACCACUUUUAGUGGUUUAUGGACAGUAUGCACACCCAGUGGAUCAGUGCAUCGCCUGUUUUACAUUUUCAACAGAGCUGUAUUAGCUAUUAUCAGUAGCUAGCGGACUAGUUAGUCAGUGCAACAUGUGUUUUACUCUGAAAAGCGAGCUGUUAGCAGACAGUUAGCGGCAGUUGGUCUGUGCUACACGUGUGUUUCACUCAAGUUUAGAGCUAUUAGACAGUUUUUAGCUGCAGUUUGGUCGGUGCGACAGGUGCAUUUUACUCUGAACUUUAGAGCUGUUACCGGUUGACGGUUUUAGAGCAGUUUGGUUUUUGCGACAGGUGCAUUUUACUCUGAACUUUAGAGCUGUUACCGGUUGACGGUUUUAGAGCAGUUGGGUUUUUGCGACAGGUGCGUUUUACUCUGAACUUUAGAGCUGUUACCGGUUGACGGUUUUAGAGCAGUUUGGUCGGUGUGACACGUGCGUUUUACUCUGAACUUUAGAGCUGUUACCGGUUGACGGUUUUAGAGCAGUUUGGUCGGUGUGACACGUGCGUUUUACUGUGAACUUUAGAGCUGUUACCGGUUGACGGUUUUAGAGCAGUUUGGUCGGUGUGACACGUGCGUUUUACUCUGAACUUUAGAGCUGUUACCGGUUGACGGUUUUAGAGCAGUUUGGUCGGUGUGACACGUGCGUUUUACUCUGAACUUUAGAGCUGUUACCGGUUGACGGUUUUAGAGCAGUUUGGUCGGUGCGACAGGUGCGUUUUACUCUGAACUUUAGAGCUGUUACCGGUUGACGGUUUUAGCUGCUGUUUGGUCGGUGUGACACGUGCGUUUUACUCUGAACUUUAGAGCUGUUACCGGGUUGACGGUUUUAGCUGCUGUUUGGUCGGUAAGACACCUGCGUUUUACUCUGAAAAGAGAGCUGUUAGUUGACAGUAUUUAGCGGCAGGCAGGUCCAUGCAACACAUGUGUUUUACUCUAAACAGAGCACUGCUCUCUUGUAAUUUGUGCAUAUUUGUGUUAAUGCAAUUGAAAUAAACUUUUUUAUUUUGUUAUGAGGGGCAACUGACUUUCAAAUCCUUUUUCGAUUGUGGUUAGUGAAAAGUUUCAAAUUUCACACAAUAUCCUAUGGAACAACAGACUUAUACUGAAGUGUUAGUGUGAUCCUUUUUUAAAUUACCCCCCGACUUAGACGAUUGAAGAUAUUCUGAAGAACAGACCUGGAGGAGAGAGGAUCGUGAAUGAGUAUGCUCGGGCCAAAAAGCCUAACAGAUAGCAGAAGACGUGAUAUGGUCAAGAUAUUGGUUGCACAAAUGACAAGUGAACAUGGGUAUAUGUCAUAUACUCAUUACAUACCUUACCACCUAACACAGUUUUUAGCAGAAGUUGUGAUUUACACAUCAAUAUUUUUGUUUGGAUCUCAAACAGUAAAGUGUGUGUGUGUCUAGGACAUGUCCUUCAAGGCGUGUUAAAGAGGACUACGCAAAGUGCAUCAUUGCCUUGUUCCCAUACCUGGCCGAUCCCAGGAGCAGCUUAUGUAAGUACAUUAAAAACAAAGUCUAACCUUUUUAACACUCUGGGACUCUUUCACCUUCAUUUUUUUUCAGAAUGUCAAUAUUUAAAUUGUUGUUUUGCUGUUGGGUGAUGUUUUUAUUUAAACUAAAGAUCUGUUAACAUGUCUGUAUGCCCACCAUCUCUGCCGUCUCUCCUAAGCUCAACUCUGGUGGUAUAAAAGCCCAGUUAAGAUCUGCACUGCGAGAGUCAGACCUGUUGAAUGAGCAAUUCUUCAUCUAUGAGCGCAUCUGUAGUUUUAAGGAUAAAAAUGAAUAUGAAGAUAUUUUAACCUGCUCACUCAAACUGAAUUCUACUUUACUUUAGGAGCAGUAUUACAAUGCAGAAGAUGGGAGUGGAUAUCUAGCAUGGAGACUGAAAUUUGUUCAAAGGGAAGCUUCAGAGGGACGACAGAAGACCAUGCAUCAGUCACUGACGUGUAGUUAGUCUCAUGACCAGAAAAUAAUUGUAUGUAAACAUCUGUAUAAGCAAGUGUUUCUUAGAAAUACUGAAAGAGUAAGAUACUUAGUAUUAAUUCUGUUUCUGAGUCAAAAAAAUCCUACUUUUCAUCUGGUGACAUAACUGCAUGCAUGGCCAUCCUUGCAGAGUUUCUGAGCCUUGUUUUUUAUCUCUUAUGACACAAUAUUGUAUACUUGUAUAGAGCAGACAAACCCAGUACUCUGUCAAAGUUUCACCAUGUUACAGGUGGUCCAAAAGCUGAUAGACCCCUUCAGAGAGGAAAACUGUCCAACAACAGAAAGCCUGUGUUGUGAGGCCAUUGCACUGAUGAAGCAUACAGCUGAUGAAGCAAUUGUAAAGGAGAAGAUGAAGCAGACCUUCGCCUGUCACCAAAAGAUGGUUCAUGACCCAGUGAAGUCCUCUGAAAUAUUCACAGCGUUUCCAAGAUUCCAAGACAUAGCAGGAAUGAUUGAGCAAGAUGUUAGUCUGUUGUUUGGUGAUGCAACCUCUGCAAAGUUCCUGGAGAAGUGGUUUACUCUCUACAGGCAGGAAGUAAUUGACCAAAGCAGUGGCCUCAUACAGACAGGCGACCUGCAAGACCUGGUUCAAAAUGCUGGAUCCACAACAUAAGUGGAAAAUGGAUGGGACAGUGACAUGUCAUCCAUUUUGGUCCUUGUCCACCUUCUGCCACCAUCACCUCAUGGCCGCAAGAGACCAGGAAAAAUCUCAGCCAGACACACCAGUGACCACAUUGUGAAGUUUAUCAAGACUGGGACCAGCAUCCAGGGGCAUCUGGAGAGCAUCAUGAAAAGCCUUCAACCCUAUCUGCUUGCUGUGGGGACCCAGAGGAGUGGGAUUCACAAGUACUUCAUUGUAAUUGACAAACAUGUAAUACCGUGUAAGUCACCAGACUCUCUUGCCUGUUUUGAUGAGCUUUUCAAAGCUCAUUUUGUCUUCGGUACCUCGUACAAAGCAUCUUUAUAAAGCACACGAACCUUGUUCUGAUCAUGGUGAAGGCCCCUCUACAGCUGAAUAUGGAGCAGUAAGUCAUUUUGAUGACUUGCCAUCAACAAGUUCCCCUUCUGACUCAGUCCUUGUCGAUAAGAGUCUUGUAGACAGCUGCGCUGCAACCAUAGCUGAACUUAAAGUGGCAGGUGUAGGUGAAACAACCAUUAACUCUUUGGUCAUUUCCAUGGAAGAGAUAGUUGAUGAUAUUCAUAUUCAAGCUAAAGAAUCUGUGAAGAAGUGUCUGUCUAUACAGGAGCCUAUUAAAAGUGACAUUGAGUGUAAUAUUGAUGUGUUUUGAAAAAAUGUCAAAUCCUUUUGGUGUAUUAAAUUCUGAAAGUAAGAGAAGGCAGUAUUUUACAGAAAUGUGGGGAAGGGUAGACCCAGUUGAAUACGUUCUUGGUACAAGAUUUGAUACACAACGCAAUCGGACUACUGGAGGCUAUGAUGAAAUUGUUGUUACUGAUAAAUUUGUUUACAUCCUAAUUUUGAAAACAUGACAGUUUAUUUACAAACACCCUGAUAUAAAGGAGAUGAUGCAGACUGAUUCCAGUUCAAGAAACCUUUAUGACCGAUGUGAUGGAGAUCUGUUCCAGAGCCAUGCUCUAUUUUCAAAACAGAACCAAUUCAGAUACAGCUUCUCUAUGAUUUUGAAACUGCAAAUCCUCUUGGAUCAUAACGGGGAAUACAUACAUUAGGAGCAAUCUAUUUCAAUUUAUGGAAUUUUUCUCCAAAAUUCAACUCAUUUCUGCUUAAUAUUCAUUUGGUUGCUUUAUUUCAUGCCCAAGAUGUUAAAACAUGGCUUUUCUAAAAUACUUGAUCCAGUUGUGCAGGAUAUUAAAGUACUUGAGAGGGAUGGAAUUAUGGUCCCCUUGUAUGAUCAACAAGCGUAUGGAACUAUUGUCCAUGUUACAGGUGACAACCUUGGUCUUCACUGUUUAUUUGGUUUUGUUGAAUCAUUCUGAUAUUUUUGCUGCUUUUGUCUUGCUGAGAAAGAGGACUUUCAAACUGAAUUUGAUGACGAUUCACCCAAGAUAGUUAUGCGAACUCGAGCACUUCAUGCAGAACACUGCCAAAAAAAGGAGCCAAAUCCCAGUCUUCCCUCUGUGAUGAGUGUUAAACGUUCUUGCAUUCUAAACUCCUUGCAGUACUUCAAUUCAUUUGAAAACUUCUGUCGACAUUAUGCAUGAUAUCUUGGAGGGAGUGGCCCAAUAUGAAAUGAAACUGCUAAUACUGCACUUGAUAGACAAGUACACACAUCAAAUGAAAUAGACAGGAGAAUAAAGAGCUGUAACUAUGGUUACAUUGAGCAUAACAACACACCUCAUGCAGUGAAUUUAGGAGAGGACUCUAAUGACUUGGGGGUUAAAUGCUCUCCAGUCCUGGUGUUUACUUCCCAAUCUAGCACUUCUCUUUGGAGACUUAGUUUGUCCCAAUGAUCUACACUGGUAUUUACUGUUGCUGUUGCUUCAGAUAGUAAACAUUGUAUUUUCUCCAAUGAUAUCAAAGAGUAUUACAAUUUUUUUGAAACACUUAAUCGCAGAGCACCACAGGUUAUUCAAGCAAUUGUUUCCAAAAAAGAGGCUGCUACCGAAGCAUCAUUUUAUGGUGCAUUCCCUCACAUGUAUGCUUAAAAUUGGACCAGUUUUGCAUAGCUGGUGCAUGCUCUAUGAAGCAAUGCAUCAUUUCUUUUCUUUUUUUCAACAUUUAAAAAGCUUUAAAAAUUUUACUAAAACAUUGGCAAAAAAAACACCAAAGUCAAAUAGCAUACAUUUGACACUAACAGAGUCAUGAUUGGUCCAGGUAAAAUGUUAUCUUUAAAUAUGGUGGACUGGGGCUGUAAGAUGGCUCUUCAGGUACCAAUUGACACCAUGGUUUUAAACGUUAAAUGGGCCAAACACCAUGGAAAUAUGUAUCGUUCAGGUUUAGAUGUUUGUCUAAAGUCCAUUGUGAGAUGCCAGUUUUUCAGAAAAUCCACCAUGUUGUUGUUAAAGAUGAGAAGUUACUGUUGGUUACUUUUGCCCUACAAACAAUAUGUCUUGAUGAGCAUUUUAAUGCAGAUAGAGUUGGGUGUACAACAGAGGGACCUUAUGUAGUUGAUGAUAAAGAGCUUUUCUGUCACAAAGCAUUUGAUAUACAGAUGUCUUACAGUUGUGAUGAUUCAAGUUUGUUUAUUGUCCCAUAAUAUUUCCUGUGAUUGUAAAAACUGCACAAAACCAAGAUGUAUUGUAUUGCAAUUUUGGCUUUUUUAUUUACUUUUAAUAAAAGGGGGCCAGAUGCCAAAAUGUCAUUUUACAGAGGCCACAAUUUUAUUUUAUCAUCAGUGUUUUUGAUAUGUGAGAUGCCAGUUUCACAAAAUCCCCCAUGUCAUUGUUAGAUGUAUUGAAUUGCAAUAUUAUUAUUAUUUUUUGUUAUUAUUUUAUUAUUUUAUUUUAUUUUAUUCCCUUUUCUCCCCAAUUUUCGUGGUAUCCAAUCGCUAGUAAUUACUAUCUUGUCUCAUCGCUACAACUCCCGUACGGGCUCGGGAGAGACGAAGGUCGAAAGCCAUGCGUCCUCCGAGGCACAACCCAACCAAGCCGCACUGCUUCUUUAACACAGGGCGCCUCCAACCCGGAAACCAGCCGCACCAAUGUGUCGGAGGAAACACCGUUCACCUGGCCCCCUUGGUUAGCGCGCACUGCGCCCGGCCCGCCACAGGAGUCGCUGGAGCGCGAUGAGACAAGGAAAUCCCUACCGGCCAAACCCUCCCUAACCCGGACGACGCUAGCCCAAUUGUGCGUCGCCCCACGGACCCAGAGACUCUGGUGGCGCAGUUAGCACUGCGAUGCAGUGCCCUAGACCACUGCUGCACCCGGGAGGCCUGAAUUGCAAUAUUGAGCUUUUUUAUGUACAUGUAUUAAAAUGAACAGAGGCCAACAUUUCAUUUCAGUCCACAAUUGUAUUUUAUUAUCAUCAGUAUUUUGAUGUAUGUAUUGCAAAUGUCUUACAUUUAAGA